rnacentral:misc_RNA from 1 species
GUGAGUCAUCGAAUCUUUGAACGCAUAUUGCGCCUUCUGGCAUUCCGGGAGGCACAUCUGUUCGAGCGCCAUUUCAAACCCUCAAGCAUUGCUUGGUGUUGGGUGGGGUCCUUAAUGGGAUCCCCCCGUAACUUGUAGGCGGUCACAACUCGCAACCCUUCAGCGUAGCAAGCUCACGCACUCGCUCAAGGGAUGAGAUGCGAUCAUGCCCUUCAAACCCACUAAGGUUUGGCCUCGGAUCAGAUGGGGAUACCCGCUGAACUUAAGCAUAUCAAUAAGCGGAGGA